rnacentral:rRNA from 1 species
AUACGGAGGAUGCGAGCGUUAUCCGGAUUUAUUGGGUUUAAAGGGUGCGUAGGCUGGUAAUUAAGUCAGUGGUGAAAUACUCCGGCUCAACCGGGGGGCUGCCGUUGAUACUGGUUACCUUGAGUUUAGAUGAUGUGGGCGGAAUGUGUCAUGUAGCGGUGAAAUGCAUAGAGAUGACACAGAACACCGAUAGCGAAGGCAGCUCACAAAGCUAUUACUGACGCUGAUGCACGAAAGCGUGGGGAUCAAACAGGAUUAGAUACCCUGGUAGUCCACGCUGUAAACGAUGAUCACUAGCUGUAGGCGAUACACUGUCUGUGGCUAAGCGAAAGCGAUAAGUGAUCCACCUGGGGAGUACGUCCGCAAGGAUGAA